rnacentral:tRNA from 1 species
ACCUGAAUGGCUCAGUGGGUAGGGCAUGUGACUCUUGAUCUCGAGGUAGUGAGUUCAAGCCUCACAUUGGGCA